rnacentral:snRNA from 1 species
GUGCUGUUUUACUUCAGCAGCACAUAUACUAAAAUUGGAACGAUACAGAAGAUUAGCAUGGCUCCUGCGCAAGGAUGACAUGCAAAUUCAUGAAGCAUUCCCUAUUUUU